AUUGAACGCUGGCGGAAUGCUUUACACAUGCAAGUCGAGCGGCAGCGCGGGGGCAACCUGGCGGCGAGCGGCGAACGGGUGAGUAAUGCAUCGGAACGUACCCCGUCGUGGGGGAUAACUACCCGAAAGGGUAGCUAAUACCGCAUACGACCUGAGGGUGAAAGCAGGGGAUCGCAAGACCUUGCGCUGAUUGAGCGGCCGAUAUCAGAUUAGCUAGUUGGUGAGGUAAAGGCUCACCAAGGCGACGAUCUGUAGCGGGUCUGAGAGGAUGAUCCGCCACACUGGAACUGAGACACGGUCCAGACUCCUACGGGAGGCAGCAGUGGGGAAUUUUGGACAAUGGGCGCAAGCCUGAUCCAGCCAUGCCGCGUGAGUGAAGAAGGCCUCGGUU
rnacentral:rRNA from 1 species